UACAGAGGCCUCGAGCGUUAGGCGGAAUCACUGGGCUUAAAGCGCGUGUAGGCGGAUUCUUAAGUGUCUUGUGAAAUCCCACGGCUCAACCGUGGAACUGCUGGGCAUACUGGGAAUCUUGGGCCACUCAGGGGCGACCGGAACAAGCGGUGGAGCGGUGAAAUGCGUAGAUAUCGCGUGGAACGCCAAAGGUGAAGACAGGUCGCUGGGGGUGUGCCGACGCUGAGACGCGAAAGCCAGGGGAGCAAACGGG
rnacentral:rRNA from 1 species